rnacentral:tRNA from 1 species
GGGGAUGUGGCUUAGUUGUAGAGCAUCUUCUGUGCGUGCGGAAGGUUCCGGGGAACCCCAGAGAAGAUCGGAGUCUCUGCAGAAGGUGUCAGGUUCAAUCCCUGAUGUCUCCA